UUUUUAUGUUAUAGUUAUGUUACUUCUGUACAUCAUCCAGUGUUUAUUGUAUCCUAAAUUUACAAUAAACACUGGAUGGUGUACAGAAGUAACAUAACUAUGACAUGACAU